UACGUAGGGGGCGAGCGUUGUCCGGAUUCAUUGGGCGUAAAGAGCGCGCAGGCGGCUUGGUAAGUCGGAUGUGAAAUCCCGAGGCUCAACCUCGGGUCUGCAUCCGAUACUGCCCGGCUAGAGGUAGGUAGGGGAGAUCGGAAUUCCUGGUGUAGCGGUGAAAUGCGCAGAUAUCAGGAGGAACACCGGUGGCGAAGGCGGAUCUCUGGGCCUUACCUGACGCUCAGGCGCGAAAGCUAGGGGAGCGAACUGG
rnacentral:rRNA from 1 species